rnacentral:rRNA from 1 species
UACGUAGGUGGCAAGCGUUGUCCGGAUUUAUUGGGUUUAAAGGGUGCGUAGGCGGCUUUGUAAGUCAGUGGUGAAAUAUGGCAGCUCAACUGUCAGGGUGCCAUUGAUACUGCAGAGCUUGAGUACAGAUGAGGUAGGUGGAAUUGACGGUGUAGCGGUGAAAUGCUUAGAUAUCGUCAAGAACACCUAUAGCGAAGGCAGCUUACUAGGCUGUAACUGACGCUGAGGCACGAAAGUGUGGGGAUCAAACAGG